CCUCACCCGUUAGGGGACACGGCAGCAUCGUUAAACAUGCGUGCACCAGCCUCCCUCGGGGAGGAUUUUAAGGAGGACAGCUCUCAUUGACCUGCACGUACUGGGGCAGUUGCUCAAUGACGGUCCCAGCGGUUUACACUCCCAGCCCAAGAAGCGAGCUCCUGGGGAACCGGAGGGUGUUUCUGGAGUUGCUCUAGGAGGCUGCAAUACCGCCGAUGUCCACUGGGGGUCUCUCUCGCACCACUGAUGGCAUCACCACGCCCACGUCUAGCUGGGGCGGGGUUACUGCUGGGGAAGCAAGGUCAGGCCCAGCGUCUGUGGAAGGAUUGCCGUGCCCUUCACGGUGAUGUGACUGCCUGAAGUUGGAUGCAUCCUGCUCGCGAACAUCUCGGGCACGGCUUAGCCCAGGAGACAGCAGCUCGUCCCUGAGUGUGGGGUGGCCUGGCUGGUGCCUAUGUUGGAUGGCCCGUUUGAAAGAGGGUCAGAAAGGAUUUCAUCUGAAAAGGAAUCAAGUGCAAGUCAAGUGCUUUCACUUCCUGAAUUGUUUCCAGCGCACAAGGUUGUUCUGAACGUGGGCCCUGAGUCAUGGGGGAGCCCAGGAUGUCUGCUCACCUGGGGAGCGAGGGGAUCUGACACAGAGGCCAGAGAAGGGGUGCUGUCAGGCCAGAGACUGGCUUAGAAGCAACAUGCUUCUUCCUUGUUCUGGGUUCAGUCACACAAAUGAGCAGAGGCAGCAGCCUCCGGGCCCAGAGAAACAGUCCCCAAAGACAAGAGAGAGAACGCUGGGCUGGGGGACGCGUGUUGCGCCCAUGAAAGCGAUGCCUUCUACGGAGAAGGCCGGGAAGCCUGGACCCUUGGGAGCAGCCGUGUUGGGGCAUUGGGCGGGGGAAAGCGGGGCAUGUAUCACGGUGCUUACUGGUCUGUUUCUGCUCCUCUCCCCUGCCCCCCAUUCCUCCCACUGCCCCCGAGACAAGGUGCUGUUAGGAAAAUAGGGGCUGCUUGGCCCCACCGAACCCUCUCGUCUACCGUCAGGAAAAUGGUGGCUCUCCCAGUAUCGUUAUGGUCCCGCUCAGCCCCCGGGGCUCGGAACAGGGUCUCCCUUCAUCUUCUCGGGCCCUUUUAUGGCAGCUCUGGGUCUCCCAAGGAAUGGUGCUGGAAAGAAGACUUUUGUCUUUUUUGUACUGCUUUUCCUGACUAAAUAUCAUAGUCAUUGCAGAAAAUUUGGCAAACAGAGACAUGAGUAAAAAGGAAAUGUACAAGGGGCGCCUGGGUGGUUCAGUCGGUUGAGCAUCCGACUUCAGCUCAGGUCACGCUCUCACGG